rnacentral:rRNA from 1 species
UACAGAGGUCUCAAGCGUUGUUCGGAGUUACUGGGCGUAAAGGGUGUGUAGGCGGUUCUCUAAGUUUGGUGUGAAAUCUCCCGGCUCAACCGGGAGGGUGCGCCGAAAACUGGAGGGCUAGAGUGCGGGAAGGGAGAGUAGAAUUCCUGGUGUAGCGGUGAAAUGCGUAGAUAUCAGGAGGAAUACCGGUGGUGCAGACGGCUCUCUGGACCGCGACUGACGCUGAGACACGAAAGCGUGGGUAGCAAACAGG